rnacentral:rRNA from 1 species
GGGCCCGCACAAGCGGAGGAGCAUGUGGUUUAAUUCGAUGAUACGCGAGGAACCUUACCAAGGCUUAAAUGUAAUAUGACCGGUUGAGAGAUCAACCUUUUUUCGAACAGAUUACAAGGUGCUGCAUGGUUGUCGUCAGCUCGUGCCGUGAGGUGUCGGGUUAAGUCCCAUAACGAGCGCAACCCCCUAUUUUUAGUUUACCCAGCGAGUAAUGUCCGGGAAACUCUGAGAAAAAACUGCCUGUGCAAAACAGAGAGGAAGGUGGGGAUGACGUCAAAUCAUCACGGCCCUUAUGUCUUGGGCUACACACGUGCUACAAUGGUUACUACAAUGUGAUGCCAUCUGGUGACAGAGAGCUAA